CGGGUUUCCACUGUACCGGGAGUCCUAGACGAUCCCCUGGUCGUGCGGCCCCUCCCCCGCUCCUUCCCAGACCCGCGUGGCGAUCCCGGUUUCUAGGGGAUGGAGCGAUGUUCUCUCUUACCCCGUUCCAGCUCCUCCGAGGUGGGCAGUAGGGGCUCCGUCUUCUGUCUUUUGAUACUGUAGGUCUCUGAGUCCUGGCAUUAGGUUCAUUAGCUGAAAUUCAGGGCUGUACUCUUUCUCCUUUCCUUCUGGGACUUUCAUGACAUAAAUGUUAGACCUUUUGGGAAUGUCCCACUGUUGAGUUUCACCUGCAGACAUCUUUCCUACUUGCUAAAGACAGUUCUUCUCUCCACCAGAUUUAUAAAAGCACAACAUAUAACAAGGAAAUCAAUCUUCUGUCUAUCAUAUGAAGAUAUGGAGGCUCAAAGAGUUUCAGUCACUUAACCUAACGUCACCCAGUUGGUAAGCAGCAGAAUGGACACUUUGUCUGUUUGGCGCCAAAGCCCAUGAUCCUGCAUUCCACGUGGGCCCUGGGGACGGUGCACUUCGGCAGGGCUGGGAUCAGCGGAGGUGAAUGAGCAGACCUACUUCUCCUUGCCUCAGAAGCAGGACUGGAAAAUGAACAUGGUGCUCAAUAUGCCCGUUCUUGGAGUUCUGUAGAAGAAAGAUGUUCCAAAUAAAUGCAC
rnacentral:lncRNA from 1 species